AUUGAACGCUGGCGGCAGGCCUAACACAUGCAAGUCGAACGAGUGGCGGACGGGUGAGUAAUGUCUGGGAAACUGCCUGAUGGAGGGGGAUAACUACUGGAAACGGUAGCUAAUACCGCAUACCAUCGGAUGUGCCCAGAUGGGAUUAGCUAGUAGGUGGGGUAACGGCUCACCUAGGCGACGAUCCCUAGCUGGUCUGAGAGGAUGACCAGCCACACUGGAACUGAGACACGGUCCAGACUCCUAUGUGAGUCCGCCGUGGGGAAUAUUGCACCAUUGGCGCCAGCCUGAUGCCGCCCUGCCGCGUGUAUGAAGAAGGCCUGCGGGUUUUAAAGUCCUUUCAGCGGGGAGGCGUUACCCGCAGAAGAAGCACCGGCUAACUCCGUGCCAGCAGCCGCGGUAAUUC
rnacentral:rRNA from 1 species